ACUCAAAUGAAUUGACGGGGGCCCGCACAAGCAGUGGAGUAUGUGGUUUAAUUCGAAGCAACGCGAAGAACCUUACCAGGUCUUGACAUCCCUUGCAUAGCUUGGAGACAAGUGAAGCCCUACGGGGCAAGGAGACAGGUGGUGCAUGGUUGUCGUCAGCUCGUGUCGUGAGAUGUUGGGUUAAGUCCCGCAACGAGCGCAACCCUUGUAUUUAGUUGCUACGCAAGAGCACUCUAGAUAGACUGCCGUUGACAAAACGGAGGAAGGUGGGGAUGACGUCAAAUCAUCAUGCCCCUUAUGACCUGGGCUACACACGUACUACAAUGGCGAGUAAACAGAGGGCAGCAACACGGCGACGUGAAGCGAAACCCAAAAAAUCGUCACAGUUCGGAUCGCAGGCUGCAACCCGCCUGCGUGAAGUCGGAAUUGCUAGUAAUCGCGGAUCAGCAUGCCGCGGUGAAUACGUUCCCGGGCCUUGCACACACCGCCCGU
rnacentral:rRNA from 1 species